UACAGGGGGUGCGAGCGUUAAUCGGAAUUACUGGGCGUAAAGCGUGCGUAGACGGUUAUUUAAGUCGGAUGUGAAAGCCCCGGGCUCAACCUGGGAAUUGCAUUCGAGACUGAAUAGCUAGGGUGCGGUAGAGGGAAGCGGAAUUUCCGGUGUAGCGGUGAAAUGCGUAGAUAUCGGAAGGAACAUCAGUGGCGAAAGCGGCUUCCUGGACCAGCACCGACGUUCAGGCACGAAAGCGUGGGGAGCAAACAGG
rnacentral:rRNA from 1 species